GCCAAGAAAAGACGUCUGAAGGACGAAGAGGAGUACUACCAACAAACGUCCGCUAGAUGGCGCCAAUCCGCUGGAUAUUAAAGGUGAGCAGUAACGAUUCCAUACAUUUUUACAUAAACAUGAGUGACUAAUUUAUUUACUUUCCUUCUGACAUAAAACGUUGUUUCUCUGACUGAAGUAAAGAAUCUUUUAUUGUCAUUUUUACAGCUGGGUUAACUUUAGUUGUGGGUUUGUUUAGCUCUACCUGUGUAAAUGGUACAGUCUAAGGGAGCCCACCUGGGUCAUUAGGAUAAUUACUUGAACCUGUGCAGGAAGGAGGAAAAGCAGGGUUCAUUCUUGGUGCCUCCGGCUCUGGUGGCCCGUGGAGCUCCUAAAGCAUCCAUCAUUACUUUGGGCAGCGUCGUUGCACAGGCGAGGAACCAGCAGCUCCAACAAAUUGAAACGAGGAGCAGUGCCGCUGGAUGUCCACCAGAUGGCGCCUUUUCACCGUCUAGUAAAGCUCCGACAAAUUGAAACGAGGAGCAGUGCCGCGGAUGUCCACCAGAUGGCGCCGGGUAGAAACUAAUGUCGAGGAAAAAGCUAAAGCUAGCUUCUGUGUGAUGGAACAGAAAACACCGGGUCUGGAUCAGCACCGGAAUACUGAAGUGGUGUCUGGAGGCCACUCAGGUACGUGAUGGCUUUAGUCUCGCUUCACCGUCUCUCUGGUCUCACUAACCUUUAAAAAGCACCACAUAUAUAUAUUCUAAUGAUCCGUUUGAGCUCUGAGGCACAAUGUUAGAUAAUAAAGCUUUUAGAGCAGAAAGACGAUUCCGAUCAGAGCCUGCUGGUGGCAUGUGGUCCGUUCCCUGCUUGCUUUAUUAGAAGUGACAGGAUGUGACGUAACCGAUGCUUAGAUUAGGACAAAUCUGGCUUUAGAAGAAUAGAUUCGGGUGUGAAACUGUUGGUCCUGUUGCUGCAUGUGGGAAUUACAGAAGUAGGGUAACGUCUGAUCGUGGACCUUUUCUUAAAGAGGAGGGGAGGUGGAGCAGGAAGUGGAUGAAGGUGUCAGCAGGGAGGAGUAAGCCUGGGUCCAGGCCCGUUGAAGAACACUUUGUUUGAUUCCCAGGAACGUCGUUCUUCCUGUUUAUUUUCCUCCCAGUCGAUGUUUCCUCUCUUUGGUCCAUGUUUUGCUGGGAGGGCUCCAGAGGCACAGUGUUCAGCCUUGGAAACAGACAGGUCCAACUUCAAACCCAAACUGCUGGUUGCUCUCCCCAAAGUCUGACACCUUGAUGUCCAGCAGAGGGAGGUGCUCCACCUGAGGCGUGUUGAUCUCCAGGACCGUCCUGUCGAAGCCUUUCCGGUACUGUGGAGAGAGACGGGGACACGCGUCAGAUUUCCAGGUCCGGUGGAUCCAUGAGGCCCAGGCAUGCCCCGGUCUCCUUUCUCUCCCUGCUCUCCUGAAGGUCCGAUCAGACCGAUGAGACCCUGGUGACCCUUCUCACCCUUUGCACCAGGAUCUCCACGCAGGCCAGGUAGACCGGGAGGUCCCUGCAGCACAUCAGAGGAGGAGGUCCAGGUGGGCCCGUCUGUCCAGCAGAUCCUGGAGAUCCUUGCUCUCCCUGAAACAUCAAACAGGAUCAGCUGCUGGAUUCUAACUAAAUGCAAACGCUGCUGAUUCUGAUUCCCAGGAAAACCCACCACUGAUCCUGGAAGUCCUCUGAGACCUUCUGUUCCCGGUUUUCCCGGCUGACCCUGAGGACCAACGGGGCCGGUCUUCCCUGGGGGCCCGACGGCACCUGGAUCCCCCUAAAGGUCGUCCUCGUCCUCCAGCAGGUCCAGCAGUUCCAGGUUGUCCAGCUUCUCCCUUCUCUCCGCGUUCUCCACGAAGACCCUGACAACGAAAACACGGCUGUUAGCUAACCGGUCAGCGGGGCAUCAGAAGACUUUGGCUCACUCAGUCCGAUAGGUCCUGGAGCUCCCGGGAAUCCUCGAGUUCCUUCGUCACCUUUAGCUCCAAAAGGUCCCUGCUGCCCCCUUGGUCCCAGCUCUCCAUCUGCCCCCUGCCCCACAGAGGAGAUAAGAAAUGGUACUCCGGGUGAUCCAGCAGGGCCGGGCAGACCCACUGGACCCUGGACUCCAUCCCGCCCUGCUGGGCCAAUGGGGCCUUUCUCGCCCUGUAAAGGAGAACAUCUGAAGUUAUUCCGUCUUUAGCUCGCCACGCCGAGUUAAAGGAUAUAUUUUAGGUUUGUGUUACUGAUUAAAAACGUCCUGAUAACUCACUGGAACGCCCUUCUCUCCAGCUUGUCCUGGUGGUCCUUGAGGACCUGGUCUGCCAGGAGGUCCCACAGGUCCAGCGGUUCCAGCAGAACCUCUCUCACCAGGAGAACCCUAGAAAGUACACAUGUUGGUACACUUAACAGUGAGCGAGUACUUCUACCUUUGAUUGGGUCUUCUGACAUCAACAUCAGCCUGACUCUGACAGAAACGACCUUAACCCUCAGGCUUCACUUUAACUUUCAUACAAAAGAGUCAUUAGAGGGCAAAAACGUCCGCUUGUAAGGGUUUUUAGCUUUCUCGCCUGGGCAACGUAUGGAGAAAUGACAGAAUUUGGUGGUGAACAGUAAAAAUAAUAAAUUUGACUACUUUUGUCCAAAAUGAAACCAUAACAUCACAGAAAGCAUGAUUACUAGCUGCAGAUGAUGCAGGAUCAAAAACUGUGGUUUGCAUUGAAGUCAAUGGGACGUUUUUGCCUCUAAUGGCUCGAGUGUAUAGUGAAUUUUAAAUCUGUUGCUAUGUAAAAACUAUAAAUGCAAAAAAUUCAAAAUUUUAGAUAUUUCAUAACAUAAUCAAGACUGAUUGGAACUAAACACCCCCAGGCAAAAAAAAUGUCUUUUAGAAAAUAACUCAGUUUUAGUGUUUUUUUCUUCUUCAUAAAUUACACCAAUGACUGAGUAUUUAAACUGGCAUUUCAAGGGUUAAAAGCCUCAAAAUGACUGAAUUUUUUUUCAUGUUUGAGCAGGGCUGAAGUUGUUCAACAGAUGUGUGAAAAAAAAGUAAUUUUUUUUAUAGCCACUAUUACAAGCAGCUGUUUUUGUCCUCUAAAGUCUCAAGUGUUUCUUUCAUAGUGUUCCCUUGGUCUAUUUUAAAAAUUCCAAAUUUGUCCAGAGAGCGGUUUUGCGACAACAUUUUUUACCGUAUGCACAAACGGUGGUGAAAUGGUGUCAAAACGAAAAACAAAAAACUGCCCAAAUGGACAAAAAAGUCCCUAACGAAGCCUAAGUUUCAUAAGAUUGUUCAAAACAUACAGCAGGUCCCGGAGGUCCAGCAGGUCCUUCGCUUCCCUUCAGUCCUCCACCACCCUGGAAGGAAACAUCAAAAGAUCUCAUCACGGUUUCACCUGAGCUCCACUAAACCCUCUAGAGAAACAUAAAGCAUCAAACUCUGAUGGUCUGAACUCGUUUCACUCACAGGGGUUCCAGGAAGUCCUCUCUCUCCAGGGAAUCCUCUCAGACCAGGAGGCCCAUCUUUACCAGGGCCUCCUGGAGGUCCGGGGUCUCCCUUGGUGCCCUCUUUUCCUGACGGACCAGAAAGUCCCUGCUCUCCUGGAGGACCUGGAGGUCCAGGGUGCCCACGCUCACCCAUGGGGCCCGUUUCACCUGAUGGACCCUAGGAGGAUGGAGGGAAAAGACUAAAUAUGACUGCGUUGUUGCAAAAGCUGUGAAAUGAUGGAACCGGAUGGAUUAACCCACCUGAGGUCCUACAACUCCAGGAGGCCCAGGUGGACCCACUUUACCUUGGAACCCCUGUAGAAGAAGACUUGGUGAACCUAAAGAUGCAGCAGAACACCUUAAACUAAGUUUAUCUACAAACUUACGACUUCUCCUCUCUGUCCAGGAUGUCCAGGCAGUCCGUCCUUUCCUGGUGGUCCCUGUGAAGUAUUAGUUUUCCUUAAUUCCCCAAAAACUUCAGCUCCCAUUUCAAAACAAUAACCUAAAAGUGUUCAGCAGCAAAAAGCAGAAACCAGACUUACUGGAGGUCCCUUUGGUCCGGGGAAGCCGUUGGCUCCUUGAGGUCCGGGUAAUCCCUGAUCAGACCAUGACAUCGUAUAAAAUUAGAACAUAAACUAUAACCUAAUUAAAACGUUUCAUGAUUUCCUGUAGCAGCAAAUAAGAACUCACCCUCUCUCCAGGAGGACCAGGAGGGCCGUCACUUCCAGACGUUCCCUAUGAGGAAAUAUAAUAUUUUAGGUCUGUCUGACACACAAAAAUACUUUUAGAUUAUUGUAUAAAUAAGAAAUUAUUCAUAUGAAGAUUUGAUAAAAGGGAAAAGCGUACAUUUGGAGAACGUUGCUAAGCCUGGGUGUUUCGAUGUUUAGACAAACCUUUGCUCCUAGUUUUCCUGUUGAUCCCCUCGGUCCUCUCUGCCCUCGAGGACCCUGGUGAUCACAGACAAGAGUUAAAAUAGAUUUCCUGAUCCAGAAAAAAAUAUAUAUUAAUGCAACCAAAUUAACACAUUAAACCAUGAUGUGCUACUACUAGUUUGCCCGCUUUAUUAUAGAUUCACUAGGAGAAAUACAAUAAAGUUUAUCCCUCACCAAAUAGAAUAUUUACUAAGAAACCACAAUGUAACCAUUGUGUGUGUGUCUGCUCUGUCUUCUCGAUCCCCAGUGAGUCGUGGUGGAUGGCUGCUUACACUGAGCCAGGAUCCUCUGGAGGUUUCUUCCUGUUAAAAGGGAGUUUUCCUCUCCACUGUCGUUGCAUGCUUGCUUAGUAUGAGGAUUGCUGUAAAGUCACUGACACUAGUCACUAGAACCUGCUGGGUUCCUUAUAUAGGAAACUUUUUUCUGAUUGGCUUAAUGAACUGACCUGGAUUGGAAUGUUUACUGUGUGAAGGUCCUUGAGACGACUCUGGUCGUGAUUUGGCGCUUUAUAAAUAAACUUGAAUUGAAUCAUUGUAAGCACAGUGCAACACCACCUAAACUGUUACUGACCAAAGGUAGUCUCUGCUGACCCCCAGUGGUUAUAAUUGUAACUGCACUGGUGCUAAAUGAUGUCGACACAAAUCAGCUUCUGUUUAGUUCCUCUGGUCUGACUAGGAGCUCUGAGUAAAUGAGAACUUUACCGUUGGUCCUCUUUGUCCUCUUGGUCCUUGUUUUCCAGAAACACCCUGAUUUAAAAAAGAAAACAUGUUAUAAACUAAUAAAGCACGACAACGCCUGGGUAAAAUCAUCACUCGUUUUAAUGUUUCAGGAAGGUAACUCCUGCUUUGAUAACAAGUAUAACAGCUCACCCGCGUUCCCUUCUCUCCAUUAGAACCAGGAAAUCCAGGGAAUCCAAGAGAUCCCUAAAAACAAAAAUCUUUAUAUCAGUAAUUAUAGAAACAUUAACUAACUUCUGAUGUGCAAAUGUUUAUUUACCUUGGGUCCUUGUCUUCCAGGGUAUCCAGGAAGUCCAGGUACACCAAGUUUACCCUGGAAAAAUGUCAACAAUGUCAUAAAAUGCACAAAAAGUUUAUUAGCGGGUUUCAGGUAAAUGUUUAGGUAGAAAAGGAGACAAGCAGCUAGUUUUACUCUCAGAAGCUGUAGUUGAGUUAUUGUGUCCUGCAGUAAAUUUAGAGGAAACAUGUUUAGUUUAAUAAAGCUAAAAUAAAACUUUAGAACAGGGGUGGGCGACAUAUUCUUAUCUUAUUUUCCACAUCUGUUGAUACUGAUAUACAUCACCAUAUAAAACUAAUCAAUAUUUAUCUACCUUUAAUGUUCCUGUUUAACCUGUUAAACCCUAACACCCCCCAACUGGGGGCCUCUACAGUUUCAUGUCCCAGACAUCUACAACUGUCCACAUUCUCCAAACAACUACAACCACAAUCAAACAGCUCAGAUGGGAAGCAUGGCCAUUUUAAAUUGUAAUAAAUUAAGAUACAAUGAUGUUUGAACUUUAUUUUAGAAGAGCAUCUGGCCUUAUCUGGUCUCUGCUGAAAAAAAAAACCUUGAACAAAUGGAAUAAAUAAAACAAUUGACUAAAUUUUCUAAAUGGAAUUUGAACUCACAACCUCCAUCCUGUCAGCACUUUCACACAGGGCAGCUCUUCUAAAAUAAAGUUCAAGUAUUAUUUUAUCUUAAUGUGUCAAAAACCAAAAAGAGCUUUGUUUACAAUCUAAACUGUUUUGAUUGUAGCUGUAGCUGUGCUCGGGUAAUGCAAACAACCACUGACACUUGGGACAUGAAACUCCAAAGGCCCCUGAUUGGGAAGCGCCAGGGCCCAAAGAAAAAAGGCCUAGGGCCUAAAGUUAUUUUUGAUUUAAAGCUGCAGCGCGCACGUGUGGUCGUUAGAGGAACUGCAGUCAGCACAACGCACGCCCGUGACGUUAAACCAGAAGUCCUGUAUUAUGUGACAUCCUCUUUUAAAACUAAUUAAAAUGCCACAAAGUAAAAAA